CCUACGGGAGGCUGCAGUGGGGAAUAUUGGACAAUGGGGGGAACCCUGAUCCAGCGACGCCGCGUGAGUGAAGAAGUAUUUCGGUAUGUAAAGCUCUAUCAGCAGGGAAGAAAGAAAUGACGGUACCUGACUAAGAAGCCCCGGCUAACUACGUGCCAGCAGCCGCGGUAAUCCGUAGGGGGCAAGCGUUAUCCGGAUUUACUGGGUGUAAAGGGAGCGUAGACGGCGAUGCAAGUCUGAAGUGAAAGGCGGGGGCUCAACCCCCGGACUGCUUUGGAAACUGUAUGGCUGGAGUGCAGGAGAGGUAAGUGGAAUUCGUAGUGUAGCGGUGAAAUGCGUAGAUAUUAGGAGGAACACCAGUGGCGAAGGCGGCUUACUGGACUGUAACUGACGUUGAGGCUCGAAAGCGUGGGGAGCAAACAGGAUUAGAUACCCCGGUAGUC
rnacentral:rRNA from 1 species